AGACGUCUACAUUAAGAUACCCCUGUAGUCCCAGCCGUAAACUAUGCGCGUUAGGUGUAUCGGUGACCACGAGUCACCGAGGUGCCGAAGGGAAACCGUGAAACGUGCCGCCUGGGAAGUACGGUCGCAAGGCUGAAACUUAAGGAUUGGCGGGGAGCACCACAACGGGUGGAGCCUUGCGGUUUAAUUGGACUCAACGCCGGGAAGCUCACCGGAUAAGACAGCGGAAUGAUUGCCGGGCUGAAGACCCUGCAUGACUAGCUG
rnacentral:rRNA from 1 species